rnacentral:rRNA from 1 species
CCUACGGGUGGCUGCAGUGAGGAAUAUUGGUCAAUGGGCGGAAGCCUGAACCAGCCAAGUAGCGUGCAGGAUGACGGCCCUACGGGUUGUAAACUGCUUUUAUACGGGAAUAAAGCGCCGUACGUGUAGGGCUUUGCAUGUACCGUAUGAAUAAGGACCGGCUAAUUCCGUGCCAGCAGCCGCGGUAAUACGGAAGGUCCGGGCGUUCUACGGAUGUAUGGGGUUUAUAGGGAGCGUAGGCCGCAUGUCAAGCGUGCUGUGCACUGUCCGGGCUCAACCCGGGCCUUGCAGCGCGAACUGGCGUGCUUGAGUCCGCGGCAAGCAGGCGGCAUUCGUCGUGUAGCGG